UAGGGAAUCUUCCGCAAUGGGCGAAAGCCUGACGGAGCAACGCCGCGUGAGUGAUGAAGGUCUUCGGAUCGUAAAACUCUGUUAUUAGGGAAGAACAAAUGUGUAAGUAACUAUGCACGUCUUGACGGUACCUAAUCAGAAAGCCACGGCUAACUACGUGCCAGCAGCCGCGGUAAUACGUAGGUGGCAAGCGUUAUCCGGAAUUAUUGGGCGUAAAGCGCGCGUAGGCGGUUUUUUAAGUCUGAUGUGAAAGCCCACGGCUCAACCGUGGAGGAUCAUUGGAAACUGGAAAACUUGAGUGCAGAAGAGGAAAGUGGAAUUCCAUGUGUAGCGGUGAAAUGCGCAGAGAUAUGGAGGAGCACCAGUGGCGAAGGCGACUUUCUGGUCUGUAACUGACGCUGAUGUGCGAAAGCGUGGGGAUCAAACAGG
rnacentral:rRNA from 1 species